ANGGCAGCACGGGUGCUUGCACCUGGUGGCGAGUGGCGAACGGGUGAGUAAUAUAUCGGAACGUACCUUAUUGUGGGGGAUAACGCAGCGAAAGCUGUGCUAAUACCGCAUAAUCCCUUAGGGGGAAAGCGGGGGACCGUAAGGCCUCGCGCAAUUAGAGCGGCCGAUACCUGAUUAGCUAGUUGGUGAGGUAAAGGCUCACCAAGGCAACGAUCAGUAGCUGGUCUGAGAGGACGAUCAGCCACACUGGGACUGAGACACGGCCCAGACUCCUACGGGAGGCAGCAGUGGGGAAUUUUGGACAAUGGGGGCAACCCUGAUCCAGCAAUGCCGCGUGAGUGAAGAAGGCCUUCGGGUUGUAAAGCUCUUUUGUCAGGGAAGAAACAGCAGCUCUAACACAGUCUGCGAAUGACGGUACCUGAGGAAUAAGCACCGGCUAACUACGUGCCAGCAGCCGCGGUAAUACGUAGGGUGCAAGCGUUAAUCGGAAUUACUGGGCGUAAAGCGUGCGCAGGCGGUUAUGUAAGACAGGCGUGAAAUCCCCGGGCUUAACCUGGGAAUUGCGCUUGUGACUGCAUAGCUAGAGUAUGUCAGAGGGGGGUAGAAUUCCACGUGUAGCAGUGAAAUGCGUAGAGAUGUGGUGGAAUACCAAUGGCGAAGGCAGCCCCCUGGGAUAAUACUGACGCUCAUGCACGAAAGCGUGGGGAGCAAACAGGAUUAGAUACCCUGNUAGUCCACGCCCUAAACGAUGCUGACUAGUUGUUCGGGAAUUUAUUCCUGAGUAACGUAGCUNACGCGUGAAGUCAGCCGCCUGGGGAGUACGGUCGCAAGAUUAAAACUCAAAGGAAUUGACGGGGACCCGCACAAGCGGUGG
rnacentral:rRNA from 1 species